rnacentral:lncRNA from 1 species
CAAAGAGAAAAGUCUUCCAUUUGCCUGGUAAUGAGCUUAUCCUUGGGAAUUGAUAUGGAAAAAAUGCCCAAAGCUCCAAGAGCAGGGAGUUUAGAAGAGAAAAAGAAGUAGAGAAAGGGCUGCAUUUCCCACUGUGGCUAAAAUUCUCAGGACUCAUCGACACAUCAUCAGUUCAUUACUCGAGCACAAAACUGGCAGUUAUCACAGACCCAGCCAGCAUGACCCCCAACUCAUUCCCACACUCAGGCUAGAUACUGACCUUCUGGAAUCCACCACUGUUCUACUUACAAUCCAUUUUAUUCACAUGAUUCACUUAGUCAAAGUCUAGAGGAUAGAAAGGAGAUGAAACACACUCUGUGAUUAGUUGCUCUCUCUCCUAAGGUAUCUCACUACUAAAAUCUGAGCCCCUCCCCGCCAGCCCUUUCUUCUCUUAUCUAGGGGAAGAAGGACGCAAUUUCCUGAUGGGCAGAGGCGUGCAAUGGGUCUUACUUUCACAUUGUUUCAGGAAACACAAUAAUAGUUGCUUGGCUCUCACCAUAUCCCUUUGGAAAUCCCCAGGUGUGCCUUUUGCAUUACCAAAAAUAAAUGUAGGAAAUAAAGGUAGAUAAUAGGUCAUUAUUAUGUUUUGUCCUAAUAGGUGAUGCCAAAAUAUAUCUCUGUCUACAGACAUGACUCAACCUCACAAAAAAACCACCUGCAAGCACAGUCAUCUCAUUUUCAAGUAAUGAUUAGCUUCUGAAAAAGGAAGUCAAGAAACAGAUGAGCAACGUGAGAUCGCUGGGCCUUAUAAUCCACAUUCUAAGGCCAGACGUUGUGGUUUUGCUCUGUCUGGCUGCUGACUCUUCAAGGGAAUGUGGCGGACUCCAAAAGACAUCUCUUAGCUUCUGGGACACUGGUGUCUCUUGCCACACCUCUAGGCUCACCCUCACCUUUGAAGAGUUUAGAUGAGUAGAGAAGAGGAGGAGGCAUUUCAAGUUGUGAGACUAGCAUGAGGAAAGGCAAGAAUGUAUGCAAGUUCAUAACACUGUGUGCCAGGAGGGAAGGGACAAGGUAAGGCAGAAAUGUUCUAAGGGGAACCAAUGGGAAAGGCCUUUAAAUGCCAUGCCAUAUGACACUUAUUUUUUAUUCUUAAUGGUUAGGGGGACAAAAAGUGACACUUGCUGAGGUUAACUCCUGUAACCUUCUGAAGAAAGGAUUAGAAAGUGAAAACGUGGAGGUAUCAGUUAGAAAGCUGCUUCCCUAGCAACAGGGAGCUCAAGGACAUGAACAAGGACAUUGGCUGUGGGAAUGGAACGAAAGGAAUACAUCAAUUGGCAGCGUGUGGCAGUGGAAAAAUCAAUUAAACUUAGCAGCCAAUUAAGUGUGGGAGGUUAAAAUAAUAAGGGAUCAAAUAUGGGAGGUGUUUGGUUUGGACAGUUGAAUUAAUAAUUGUGUCAGUAACCAGGAUAGAAAAUAUAGAAAGAGAAAUAGAAUCACAGAAGGACUGUAAUUAAUUCCAUUCAGGGCAUCUGGGCUUCAGAUACUAUCAGAACAAGCAGCGUGAAGGCUGCCAUUGACGAGUGGCAAAUACUUCUGGUUACAUAGAACAAAAACCUGAAACAUGGACAGACAUUUAUUAAACUCCUAUUAUGUGCAAAGAAUUGCAAAACGUCCUAUGGGGUGGGCAAAGUACCUUAUAGUCCCUGGCCAUAGGGGCUUGAUGAUGUAGGUAAGAGUACAACAUAAAUGCAUGGAAAUGUAAGUAACUAAGAACUGUUCAGAGAAAAUGUUAUGGGAGAGAGAUGAGAACCUAGGCCUUGAAACACAGGUAGGGUGGAGCAAAGGGGAGAAGAGAAAGAAAUUUCCAGAGAAAGGCUUAGAGGGGUUGUUGAGAAAUGUGCUUCAGUGAGAGCAGGAAUAGCUGGAUUGGAGGAGACAUGUAAAAAACGAAGAAGGAAUAAGCACAGAUUGGUAAAUUUGACUUAACUUCUGAACACUUCUUAUUGAUACAUAACAGAUGCACAUAUUUUGGAGUACAUGUGAUAUUUUGAUAUAGUCAUAGAAUGUGUAAAUAUCAAAUUAGGGUAAUUGGGAUAUCCAUCACCUUAAAUAUUUAUCUUUUCUUUAUGCUAGGAAUAUUUGACUUACUCUGUUUUAGCUAUUUCAAAAUGUACAGUAAAUUAUUGUUAACUAUAGUCACCCUACUGAUCUAACACUGUCUUAUUUCUUCUAAUUGUACAUUUGUACCCAUUGAUCAACCUCAACUUUUGAGCACUUUUAAUGUCAAGCAAAGUGGUUUGAAUUUGAUCGAGGAAACAGAAAAGAGUCUUUGGGACAUUUCCUGCCAGGUGAGUAAAUGA